GGGAAUACUCAUAGUUACCUGUCCUUGCUUUCUUAGUCUCCUUAGCCUGUUCCCUAAGCUUAUCACCCUCAACCUACUGAGCAUGAGUCAUGAGCCUAGAGAUGUUCAUGUCUCCCAACAACAUAGCAUUCCUGCACUCUGUCUUCACUAAGUCUGACACUCCAUAGAGAAACUUAUUCAUCUGAGCCCUGGAAUCAGCAACCAUGUGAGGAGCAUACCUGGAGAGUUGGUUAAACUUGAGCCCAUACUCUUGGACAGUCAUGU
rnacentral:lncRNA from 1 species